GAUGAACGCUAGCGGCAGGCUUAAUACAUGCAAGUCGAGGGGUAGCAAGAUUGUAGCAAUACAAUUGUUGACGACCGGCAAACGGGUGCGGAGCACGUACACAACCUUCCUAUAAGUGGGGAAUAGCCCAGAGAAAUUUGGAUUAAUACCCCGUAACAUAAUGAUGUGGCAUCACAUUAUUAUUAUAGCUUCGGCGCUUAUUGAUGGGUGUGCGGCUGAUUAGAUAGUUGGCGGGGUAACGGCCCACCAAGUCUACGAUCAGUAGCUGAUGUGAGAGCAUGAUCAGCCACACGGGCACUGAGACACGGGCCCGACUCCUACGGGAGGCAGCAGUAAGGAAUAUUGGUCAAUGGACGCAAGUCUGAACCAGCCAUGCCGCGUGAAGGAUUAAGGUCCUCUGGAUUGUAAACUUCUUUUAUCUGGGACGAAAAAAGGCUAUUCUUAGUCACUUGACGGUACCAGAUGAAUAAGCACCGGCUAACUCCGUGCCAGCCGCCGCGGUAACAC
rnacentral:rRNA from 1 species